ensembl:piRNA 21ur-5892 ncRNA
UUCCUGAUUGUUUGAGUAAGG